rnacentral:rRNA from 1 species
UAGAGUUUGAUCCUGGCUCAGGACGAACGCUGGCGGCGUGCCUAAUACAUGCAAGUCGAGUGGAAAUUUUAUUGGUGCUUGCACCUUUAAAAUUUUAGCGGCGGACGGGUGAGUAACACGUGGGUAACCUACCUUAUAGAUUGGGAUAACUCCGGGAAACCGGGGCUAAUACCGAAUAACACUUUUUAACACAUGUUUUAAAGUUGAAAGACGGUCUUGCUGUCACUAUAAGAUGGACCCGCGGCGCAUUAGCUAGUUGGUGAGGUAACGGCUCACCAAGGCAACGAUGCGUAGCCGACCUGAGAGGGUGAUCGGCCACACUGGGACUGAGACACGGCCCAGACUCCUACGGGAGGCAGCAGUAGGGAAUCUUCCACAAUGGACGAAAGUCUGAUGGAGCAACGCCGCGUGAGUGAAGAAGGAUUUCGGUUCGUAAAACUCUGUUGCAAGGGAAGAACAAGUAGCGUAGUAACUGGCGCUACCUUGACGGUACCUUGUUAGAAAGCCACGGCUAACUACGUGCCAGCAGCCGCGGUAAUACGUAGGUGGCAAGCGUUGUCCGGAAUUAUUGGGCGUAAAGCGCGCGCAGGUGGUUCCUUAAGUCUGAUGUGAAAGCCCCCGGCUCAACCGGGGAGGGUCAUUGGAAACUGGGGAACUUGAGUGCAGAAGAGGAUAGUGGAAUUCCAAGUGUAGCGGUGAAAUGCGUAGAGAUUUGGAGGAACACCAGUGGCGAAGGCG